UACGUAGGGGGCAAGCGUUGUCCGGAAUUAUUGGGCGUAAAGAGCGUGUAGGCGGCCAGAUAAGUCCGCUGUGAAAUCUCGAGGCUCAACUUCGAGCUGUCGGUGGAAACUAUCUGGCUAGAGUCCGGAAGAGGGUCGCGGAAUUCCCGGUGUAGAGGUGAAAUUCGUAGAUAUCGGGAGGAACACCAGUGGCGAAGGCGGCGACCUGGGCCAAUACUGACGCUGAGGUGCGAAAGCGUGGGGAGCAAACAGG
rnacentral:rRNA from 1 species